AGAGUUUGAUCCUGGCUCAGAAUCAACGCUGGCGGCGCGCUUAACACAUGCAAGUCGCACGAGAAAGGGAGCAAUCCUGAGUAAAGUGGCGUACGGGUGAGUAACACGUGGAUUAUCUACCUUUUAGUGGGGAAUACCUCCGGGAAACUGGAGACAAUACCGCAUAAGCUCGAAAGAGGAAAGCAGCAAUGCGCUGAAAGAGGAGUCCGCGGCUGAUUAUGCUAGUUGGCGGGGUAAUGGCCCACCAAGGCGAAGAUCGGUAGCCGGCCUGAGAGGGCUCACGGCCACACUGGCACUGAAACACGGGCCAGACUCCUACGGGAGGCAGCAGUGGGGAAUCUUGCACAACGGACGAAAGUCUGAUGCAGCGACGCCGCGUGAGCGAUGAAGCCCUUCGGGGUGUAAAGCUCUUUCGACGGGAACGAUAAUGACGGUACCCGAAGAAGAAGCUGCGGCUAACUACGUGCCAGCAGCCGCGGUAAUACGUAGGCAGCGAGCGUUGUUCGGAAUUACUGGGCGUAAAGAGUGUGUAGGCGGUGCUCUAAGUCUGUUGUGAAAUCUCCCGGCUUAACCGGGAGGGUGCGGCGGAAACUGGAGUGCUUGAGGGUGGGAGAGGUAAGCGGAAUUCCUGGUGUAGCGGUGAAAUGCGUANAUAUCAGGANGA
rnacentral:rRNA from 1 species